rnacentral:rRNA from 1 species
GGAGGGGGCGAGCGUUAUUCGGAAUUAUUGGGCGUAAAGGGCAGGUAGGCGGUUUCGUAUGUCCUCUGUGAAAGCCCUCGGCUCAACCGAGGAAUUGCAGGGGAAACUGCGAGACUUGAGUCCGGGAGAGGCUAGUGGAAUUCCCAGUGUAGCGGUGAAAUGCGUAGAUAUUGGGAGGAACACCUGUGGCGAAGGCGGCUAGCUGGACCGGUACUGACGCUGAGCUGCGAAAGCCAGGGGAGCAAACGGGAUUAGAUACCCCGGUAGUCCUGGCUGUAAACUCUGAACACUUGGUGUGGCGGGUAUCGACCCCCUGCCGUGCCGAAGCUAACGCAUUAAGUGUUCCGCCUGGGGAGUACGGUCGCAAGGCUG